CCUACGGGAGGCAGCAGUAGGGAAUAUUGCACAAUGGGGGAAACCCUGAUGCAGCAACGCCGCGUGAAGGAAGACGGUUUUCGGAUUGUAAACUUCUAUCAAUAGGGAAGAAAGAAAUGACGGUACCUAAAUAAGAAUCCCCGGCUAACUACGUACCAGCAGCCGCGGUAAUACGUAGGAGGCAAGCGUUAGCCGGAAGUACUGGGUGUAUAGGGAGAGUAGGCGGCAAGGUAAGCGAUAUGUGAAAGCCUUAAGCUUAACUUAAGGAUGGCAUAACGAACUAUCUAGCUAGAGUACAGGAGAGGAAAGCGGAAGUCCUAGUGUAGCGGUGAAAUGCGUAGAUAUUAGGAAGAACACCAGUGGCGAAGGCGGCUUUCUGGACUGAAACUGACGCUGAGGCUCGAAAGCGUGGGGAGCGAACAGGAUUAGAUACCCCUGUAGUC
rnacentral:rRNA from 1 species